UAGGAAUCUACCCUUUAGUGGGGAAUAACUCAGAGAAAUCUGGGCUAAUACCGCAUAGUUCUCUUCGGAGUAAAGGUCAUAACUGAUCGCUAAGGGAGGAGCCUGCGUCCUAUCAGCUUGUUGGUGAGGUAAAAGCUCACCAAGGCGAUGACGGGUAGGGGGUGUGAGAGCACGGCCCCCCACAAGGUCACUGAUACACGGGGCCUACACCUACGGGUGGCAGCAACUGGGAAUCUUGCGCAAUGGGCGAAAGCCUGACGCAGCGACGCCGCGUGCGGGAAGAAGGUCUUCGGAUUGUAAACCGCUGUGGAGAGGGAAGAUAAUGACGGUACCUUUCUAGAAAGCACCUGCUAACUACGUGCCAGAAGCCUCGGUGAUACGUAGGGUGCAAGCAUUAUCCGGAUUUAUUGGGCGUAAAGAGUAUCGUAGGCGGUUUUGUAAGUGAUUGGUGAAAUCCUUGGGCUCAACCCAAGAACUGCCAGUCAUACUGUAAAACUAGAGUGAUUUCGGAAAGGCUGGAAUUCUCGGUGUAGGGGUGAAAUCCGUUGAUAUCGAGAGGAACACCAAGGGCGAAGGCAGGCCUUUAGGAAUCUACUGACGCUGAUGAACGAAAGCUUGGGGGAGCAAAACGGAUUAGAGACCCGUGUAGUCCAAGCCGUAAACGAUGCCCACUAGAUGG
rnacentral:rRNA from 1 species